AACCCUGUAUUAAAACCGUACAGCACUUCGUUAAAACUUAGAUAAGAUAUGAUUGUCUGCUUCAGUUGAAAAAAGAUGGCAUCAGUGCAGCUGGUAAUUAAAAGAAACGCAAGUUUCUUUGCAAAAGGAAGACUGCCUUGAACACUUGCUCCCACAACACAAUAACAAAUAAGAGUACUUUGAUAGAAAAAGAGAUCCUUUUAUGGGCUUAUUUGAGAAGAUAAGCUGGGUGGUGUAAUUUAACAUGCACAAUGCUAUUCUCUCUUGAUAUGAAAUUUCUUUUUUUAUAUUAAUCUUUUCAGACAUAAGGUACAAGUGAUUUUCAUUUCAGAAUGUAUCAACAGUUCCUAAGUAAGGGACUGGAAUAUUGUCUUAGAGAAUUAGUCUCCUUAUGAGGCUACACAGCUGUAGUGGAAAUGCUAAGUCAGGGCUUGAAGCAGUGAUGGAGCACCUGGGGGGAAGGCAGGGCCAGCCCAGGGGAGCUCAGGUGCAUGCAAUGCAUGUGAGUGAUUGGAAGGGGUGGAGCAAGGAUCCACCCCUUCCCAGACCUCAUUUAAGGGUUGGCAGUGGAGGUGAGGGUAUUUCUUCUAGAGGUCCCUGGGUACCUGAGGUCUUCCAAAGCACUAGACAUAAUAAGCCAGUUUCCCCAGAAACCAUACAAACCAUCAGGGAACUUGCCUGCUUGCUGUGCUUGAAUUGGAGAUCCGGAAACGCACCUGCUCAAUGGCACUUCUUACAAGCGGAUCACUAGGACUCACUGAAGGAUGAACGACAAACUCUACCUGUUCAAAGCAGAAGGAAACAAAUAAGGGAUAUUUAUGGAGAUAUUAGCUCUUCUCUGUUUCAACUCAGAGGCUGACUUACAGUUUCUUCAAUACUCUUUGUUGUCAAAAUGAGAUUAAAUAGGAUUGUGUAGCCUGACAACGCAGGGAGAGACCAUAAACAGAACCUCUCAGAAGGGAGAUGCAGGGACACUGAUCUAGGGACUAUUCCCUCAUCACAAUCAACUGCAGUACGAUAACUGAAAGCAACGAGUAACCUGGUUUUCACAGUAGCCUAGUUUAGGACACUUAACUUUUGGGCAGCUCACUUGUGGGUUCUUCUACAAAAAGUAAAGUUCUCCUUGUAUUUCAAUAAAAAGGCACCAAAUAUUUUGGUAAAUUAAAAAGGUUGUGAGGAAAA